rnacentral:rRNA from 1 species
CCUACGCGAGGCAGCAGUGAGGAAUAUUGGUCAAUGGACGCAAGCCUGAACCAGCCAUGCCGCGUGCAGGAUGACGGCUCUAUGAGUUGUAAACUGCUUUUGUACGAGGGUAAACCCUGUUACGUGUAUCGGGUUGAAAGUACCGUACGAAUAAGGAUCGGCUAACUCCGUGCCAGCAGCCGCGGUAAUACGGAGGGUCCGAGCGUUGUCCGGAUUUGUUGGGUUUAAAGGGUGCGUAGGCGGUUUGAUAAGUUAGAGGUGAAAUGUCGGGGCUCAACCCCGGAACUGCCUCUGAUACUGUUGGACUAGAGAGUAGUUGCGGUAGGCGGAAUGUAUGGUGUAGCGGUGAAAUGCUUAGAGAUCAGACAGAACACCGAUUGCGAAGGCAGCUUACCAGACUAUAUCUGACGUUGAGGCACGAAAGCGUGGGUAGCAAACAGGAUUAGAUACCCCGGUAGUC